GACGAACGCUGGCGGCGUGCUUAACACAUGCAAGUCGAACGGAAAGGCCCUGCUUUUGUGGGGUGCUCGAGUGGCGAACGGGUGAGUAACACGUGAGUAACCUGCCCUUGACUUUGUGAUAACUUCAGGAGACUGCGGCUCAUACCCGGUAUGAUCUCCUGCUGCAUGGUGGGGGUUGGUAAGUUUCGGCGGUUGGGGCUGGACUCGCUGCUUAUCAGCUUGUUGGUGUGGUAGUGGCUUACCAAGGCUUUGACGGGUAGCCGGCCUGAGAGGGUGAACAGCGACAAGGGGACUGAGAGACGGCGCAGAAGCCUACGGGAGGCAGCAGGGGGGAAUAUUGCAGAAUGGGCGGAAGUCUGAUACAGAAACGCCGGGAGCGGGAUGACGGCCUUCGGGUUGUAAACCGAUUUGGCAGGUGACGAAGAGUGAGUGACGGUAAUGGGUAAAGAAGCACCGGCUAACUACGUG
rnacentral:rRNA from 1 species